UGCCCCUUCGUCUAUCGGUAGGACGCCCGACUCUGAAUCAGGAAAGUGAGGUUCGAAUCCUCGAGGGGCAUCCA
rnacentral:tRNA from 1 species